rnacentral:rRNA from 1 species
UACGGGGGGAGCAAGCGUUGUUCGGAUUUACUGGGCGUAAAGGGCGCGUAGGCGGCCAGCACAAGUCAGUUGUGAAAUCUCCGAGCUUAACUCGGAAAGGUCAACUGAUACUGUGCGGCUAGAGUGCGGAAGGGGCAACUGGAAUUCUUGGUGUAGCGGUGAAAUGCGUAGAUAUCAAGAGGAACACCUGCGGCGAAGGCGGCUACCUGGACCGGUAUUGACGCUAAGGCGCGAAAGCGUGGGGAGCAAACAGG